CUAUGUUGUGUCCUGGCCAGAGUCACCCCAUCCAGCUCAUGACACGUCUGACUGGACCUCUCUGUGAUGUCACAGUAGCCACUGCCAGUUCCAGGUAUAUGAGGGACCUAGUGCUGCCCAGGUCAGUCCUUUCCUAGUCCACCUCUGGAUCAGUCACCACCAGCGGAUCCAGUCAGGAAGGAGAGAAUGUGUAUGGACAGGUUCAGCCGGCGCUCCAUGGGAAGGGGUAGGAGAAGGAGGUACAGCAGCCGCAGCUGUGGCCCCAGCUAUGCCUACAAGUACAAGUCCUCAAGGGCCCGCAGGAGAGGGAGACGCAGGAGAAGGCACUAGGUGCCCGUCUUACCAGCGGCAGUGACAUCAGCUGGCCCCUGAGAGAGGAUAUGAUUGGGCCCCAGAAGCAGCUGUCCCUGUACUUCCACACAUCAGCAUGAGAUAAAAGCGUCAGCAAAGUA